AGAGUGAACGCUGGCGGCAGGCCUAACACAUGCAAGUCGAACGGCAGCACGAGAGAGCUUGCUCUCUUGGUGGCGAGUGGCGGACGGGUGAGGAAUACGUCGGAAUCUGCCUUUUUGUGGGGGAUAACGUAGGGAAACUUACGCUAAUACCGCAUACGACCUACGGGUGAAAGCGGAGGACCUUCGGGCUUCGCGCAGAAAGAUGAGCCGACGUCGGAUUAGCUAGUGGUGGGUAAAGGCCACCAAGGCGACGAUCUGUAGCUGGUCUGAGAGGACGACAGCCACACUGAACUGAGACACGGUCCAGACUCCUACGGGAGCAGCAGUGGGGAAUUUUGGGACAAGUGGGACGCGAAGCCUGAAUCCAGCAAUGCCGCGUGCAGGAAGAAGGCCUUCGGUGUAAACUGUACUUUGUACGGAACGAAACGGUACUGGUUAAUACCUCGGACUAAGUAGACGUACCGUAAGAAUAAG
rnacentral:rRNA from 1 species